GGAAGGAUCAUUAUAUUGUGUUUGAAUAUUUAAACCGUGAAUGAAGAGUUUUUAUGUGUGAUCUUAUUUGAUAUUUUAUUUAUAUGAGAAUACCUAUUAACAACGAAUACCUUGGUUCUCACAACGAUGAAGAACGCAGCGAAAUGCGAUAUGUAUUACGAAUUGCAGAAUUAAGUGAAUCAUCAAGAUUUUGAACGCAAGUGGCGCUUUUUUUGUAAAAAGCAUGCCUCUUUGAGUAUCGUCAUGAUCAUUCUAAAGUAGUUUAGAAAUAUCCAAAGUCUGAAACAUGUCUUUAUUGUAAUAUUUGCAUUGUCAUUUUGGAGCAUCAAUGAAGCAAUUAGUUGUGUCAUGCGUGUUUUCUGUGAUCAAUCAACCAACCAAUAAAAUCAAUGAAAAUGAUCUCAAAUGAGGUAAGAAAACCCGCUGAAUUUAAGCAUAUAAGUAAGCGGAGGAAAAGAAACUAACCAGGAUUCCCCUAGUAAUGGCGAAUGAAGAGGGAAUAGCUCAAACCUUAAAUCUCUCUUCAAUUGAUGAGGAGCGAAUUGUGGUCUGUAGAAAUACUACCAACAACGAUGUCGAUACAAGUCUGUUGGAAAACAGCAGCAUAGAGGGUGAGACUCCCGUCUUGGAUCGAAUAUGAAUUGUGUAUGGUGUAUUUUCAAAGAGUCGGGUUGCUUGGGAACGCAGCCUUAAAUGGGUGGUAAAUUCCAUCUAAAGCUAAAUACAUGUGAGAGACCGAUAGUGAACAAGUACCGUGAGGGAAAGGUGAAAAGGACUUUGAAAAGAGAGUCAAAAGUACUUGAAAUUGUUAAUAGUAAAGCGAUAGAAAAUAGUUUAUAAAUAUGCCACGUUUCUAUUGUGUUUUGAUGGAAUAGUUGUGUGAGUGUAUUUGUGGUGAGAAUGGAUUUGAAAUGCGUUUAAAGACAAAGAGAGUGGUAGAUCUGCGUGCAGUUUGAGUAUCUGUUUGUUUGGAUGUGUUUUAGAUCGAGGUUGUGAUUCUGACAAAAUGUUUUCUAUCGGCCCGUCUUGAAACACGGACCAAGGAGUCUAACGUAUAUGCAAGUCUUUGAGUGUAAAACUGAAAGGCGUAAUGAAAGUGAAUUUGAUGUUAAACCUGUUUUGGGUAUCCGCAUCGCCCGGUUUCUCUGUUAUGAGAGAUACGAGGUGGAGCAUAUAUGUUAGGACCCGAAAGAUGGUGAACUAUGCCUGAGCAGGGUGAAGCCAGGGGAAACUCUGGUGGAAGCUCGAAGCGAUACUGACGUGCAAAUCGUUCGUCAGACUUGGGUAUAGGGGCGAAAGACUAAUCGAACCAUCUAGUAGCUGGUUCCCUC
rnacentral:misc_RNA from 1 species